CUUCCUUGCAGCAGAUGAUCGGAAUGCUUUGGGCGGCGGGGGAGCCAGAGGAAGGGGAGCUACCGUGGCCUUGGCUUUGCUCAGGUGCUGUAAUGCAGGAACACACAGCAACUACACAGCGAACAAUGAAACCGAAGUAUGGGACACAAGGACAACACUGUCUAGCUAAUGAACGAUCCCCACUCCCUCACAAGGGAAGCCAAACAGCUGCAGCAAGAGGAGUCCAUGCCUGAACACAAGGAGUGCUCCCUUAGGCCAUGCUGCUUAUGCACAUGUAUGCCUCUACACUUCUGGUUGCAAGGGCCUUCACCACACCAGCCUGGGAUAUUUUACAUGGCAAAAAAACAGUGUUCAAGGCAAAGGUAAAAACACAUGCAGGUAGUAAGUUCAUGGGAUAGAAGUGGCAGUUUUAAAGUAGACCCUGGCUCAGCCUCACAACUCCUAAGGAGAGUAGGUAUCAUUGCCCUGUUUUACAGAUGGGGAAACUGAGGCAGAAAAUUGCACAGGGUUUUAUAGAGUUGAUGACAGAGCUGAAAUUAGAACUUAGGUCGUUCUGACUAAUGCUGGUCAUAGUCCUCCUAUACUGCCCAUCAAUGGUAGUUUCAAGCCAGGCAGUAUUUGUCCCAUAACUGCUUGGUUGAAAUCACCAUUAGCCAGUUAGCAUGCAGUCUCAGUCUGCCCACUUUAUAAGAAGGGACAAUCUGAUACUUGGAUUCAGUAGAGAAAUGCGCAGAAUUCUGAACUUCGAGAGACAGUUAUUCAACUGUGCCUCAAACUAAAUGGUUAGACUAAAUACUGUACACAUUCCACUCAUCUGCAUGGAAACUCUACAGGAACUGCAGCAGCAUGUAUGGCAGAGCCUGAGAUAUACUUGCUUCCAGCGCGGAGCACUAUCCAGGGAGCUACUUGACUCAACUCCAGCAAAGUCAGACACCAAGGAUUUCUCUGGUGGCACAACACAAGGCUCCUCUCACUGCCCUGGCUCACCAUGGCGGGGUGGAUAAAAACAAUGAUUUAAAAAAAAAUGGGAUUUUUUUGAUAA